rnacentral:rRNA from 1 species
GAUGAACGCUAGCGGGAGGCCUAACACAUGCAAGCCGAGCGGUAUUUGUUCUUCGGAACAGAGAGAGCGGCGUACGGGUGCGGAACACGUGUGCAACCUACCUUUAUCAGGGGGAUAGCCUUUCGAAAGGAAGAUUAAUACCCCAUAAUAUAUUGACUGGCAUCAGUUGGUAUUGAAAACUCCGGUGGAUAGAGAUGGGCACGCGCAAGAUUAGAUAGUUGGUAGGGUAACGGCCUACCAAGUCAGUGAUCUUUAGGGGGCCUGAGAGGGUGAUCCCCCACACUGGUACUGAGACACGGACCAGACUCCUACGGGAGGCAGCAGUGAGGAAUAUUGGACAAUGGGUGAGAGCCUGAUCCAGCCAUCCCGCGUGAAGGACGACGGUUCUAUGGAUUGUAAACUUCUUUUAUACUGGGAUAAACCUACCCUCGUGAGGGUAGCUGAAGGUACAGUAUGAAUAAGCACCGGCUAACUCCGCGCCAGCAGCCGCGGUAAUACGGAGGGUGCAAGCGUUAUCCGGAUUUAUUGGGUUUAAAGGGUCCGUAGGCGGAUCUGUAAGUCAGUGGUGAGAUCUCAUAGCUUAACUAUGAAACUGCCAUUGAUACUGCAGGUCUUGAGUAAAGUAGAAGUGGCCGGAAUAAGUAGUGUAGCGGUGAAAUGCAUAGAUAUUACUUAUAACACCAAUUGCGAAGGCAGGUCACUAUGUUUUAACUGACGCUGAUGGACGAAAGCGUGGGGAGCGAACAGGAUUAGAUACCCUGGUAGUCCACGCCGUAAACGAUGCUAACUCGUUUUUGGGUCUUCGGAUUCAGAGACUAAGCGAAAGUGAUAAGUUAGCCACCUGGGGAGUACGUUCGCAAGAAUGAAACUCAAAGGAAUUGACGGGGGCCCGCACAAGCGGUGGAUUAUGUGGUUUAAUUCGAUGAUACGCGAGGAACCUUACCAAGGCUUAAAUGGGAAUUGACAGGUUCAGAAAUAGACUUUUCUUCGGACAAUUUUCAAGGUGCUGCAUGGUUGUCGUCAGCUCGUGCCGUGAGGUGUUAGGUUAAGUCCUGCAACGAGCGCAACCCCUGUCACUAGUUGCCAUCAUUCAGUUGGGGACUCUAGUGAGACUGCCUACGCAAGUAGAGAGGAAGGUGGGGAUGACGUCAAAUCAUCACGGCCCUUACGCCUUGGGCCACACACGUAAUACAAUGGCCAGUACAGAGGGCAGCUACCAGGCGACUGGAUGCGAAUCUCGAAAGCUGGUCUCAGUUCGGAUUGGAGUCUGCAACUUGACUCUAUGAAGCUGGAAUCGCCAGUAAUCGCGCAUCAGCCAUGGCGCGGUGAAUACGUUCCCGGGCCU